UACGUAGGGGGCAAGCGUUGUCCGGAAUCAUUGGGCGUAAAGAGCGUGUAGGCGGCCAGAUAAGUCCGCUGUGAAAUCUCGAGGCUCAACUUCGAGCUGUCGGUGGAAACUGUCUGGCUAGAGUCCGGAAGAGGAGAAUGGAAUUCCUGGUGUAGCGGUGAAAUGCGCAGAUAUCAGGAAGAACACCCGUGGCGAAGGCGGUUCUCUGGGACGGUACUGACGCUGAGGAGCGAAAGCCAGGGGAGCAAACGGG
rnacentral:rRNA from 1 species